UAGUGGACGUUACUCGCAGAAUAAGCACCGGCUAACUCUGUGCCAGCAGCCGCGGUAAUACAGAGGGUGCGAGCGUUAAUCGGAUUUACUGGGCGUAAAGCGUGCGUAGGCGGCUUUUUAAGUCGGAUGUGAAAUCCCUGAGCUUAACUUAGGAAUUGCAUUCGAUACUGGAAAGCUAGAGUAUGGGAGAGGAUGGUAGAAUUCCAGGUGUAGCGGUGAAAUGCGUAGAGAUCUGGAGGAAUACCGAUGGCGAAGGCAGCCAUCUGGCCUAAUACUGACGCUGAGGUACGAAAGCAUGGGGAGCAAACAGGAUUAGAUAC
rnacentral:rRNA from 1 species